GCAUUGGUGGUUCAGUGGUAGAAUUUUCACCUCGCACGCAAAAGACCCAGGUUCUAUUCCUGGCCAAUGCA
rfam:Loxodonta africana unplaced genomic scaffold scaffold_17, whole genome shotgun sequence.